GGGAGCGGGUUGCAGCCGGUGAUGGUGACCGGAGGCGGCCACUCAGGUGCGCGCCCCGCUGCUCCCGAGCCGCGGAUAACGAGCCGGCACGGGGAGCUGCUGAGAAGAGUUAGCGUUGGUAGUUAUAGCGAAGCCACAAUAACCUUGUUAAACGUUUGUUUACAGUGACUCGCUCUAAGCCUUCCGUGUAGAAGGAAGCGGAGUAUCUCUACUCUGGUUAGCGUUUAUAACUCCCCCGACCUCCCUUCCCGCCGCGCCCGCCUCAGGAGUUUCUAGACUGCAGCAAAAUGCAGAUGACUUGACAGUGAAAAUUUUUGUUGCCUCCAAAAGUAACGGUGUGUGAACUACAGUUUUUAUCAGUGCUGCGUGCUCUUACUUCAGCACAUUAUCCAUCUUAUGUGGAGCUCCAGGUGCUGAUCACAUCUGCUGAAGUUUCUCCUUCACAGAAGCAAUGCUGAAGAGUCAAACACAGCUGCCCGGAAAAUGGUAGAAUACAAAGGCUUAGACUGUGGUGCCUCCAUCCAAGUGCAGGCCCUGAUCUCGUGUUCCCGUGCUGGCAGAGCAUGACUCAUGGAUGGGCUCCUGUCAGGCUGGCCUGGAGUCCUUAACGGGCCUUCAAAAUGUACCAGCACAAAGUGCUCCAUUUGUAUUUUGCUUUGGGAUGAUGUUUUCUGGCUCAUGGCGUAGCUGCAGUCUGAUAAAGUGUCUAAGGCCUGCGAGAGGCAGGGUAAGGAUUUUCUUUGAGCUGCUUGCCAGUUCCCCUUCUCUCUGGCUUUGCAGCCUCCUGAUCUGAUACUCUGCCUGCAGUUAACCACUCCCUGAUGGAGUUUACUAAAAAAUACCCUCAUUAGUCUAAAGGAGUUUAAUAAUUUUUCCUUGGAUUAUUUUGAGAAACAGCUGUGCCACUGCACUUAGGUUGAAAGGAAUGCUAGGAUCCGUAUUGGGGGUAGUUAUGCACAGCAACACAUGAGGGGGAUAACUUCUUACUUGACCUAACUGUAGUCAGAGAAGAUAAUUUGAUCCACUCUGUAGGCUUAGAGAUCAUUAUCUAUGGAUGAAGAGACUCUCCCCUAAAUAUUAACAUAAGUUUGGGAUACAUUUAAAACACAUCUGAUGGAUAAAAUUCCGGAUAAAGAUCAUGAAAAAGGAAAACAGUUUUUAUUGACAAGACUGGUAUUAAAUAUGCCAGAGGAGGUGUUUUUUGUCCCACUCCAUCUCUAAAAACUUCUAAAAUGGGUUCAUUUAGAGUGAUUUCCUUUAUCAGCUGUGGUUGUUCUGAGUGCAGUCAGUGGCUCCUCUGAGCAGUUUGUCAUGGCAGGGUGCUGUUUCCUGACUGCCUGGAGCUUGCUUAGAAUCUGCAAGAUGAUUUGAAUGUGUUGAAUGUGAAUCCAGUAAAUAACUGUGUAUCAUUUCAGUUUUUGUCAUAAAUUAGAAGGGAAAUCUGAAGCAAUGCAUUUCUAAUACACAAAUAUAGUGAACAGUGCAUUGUGUGUUACAGCCGUACUUGCCGUUCCCCCU